GAUGAACGCUGGCGGCGUGCCUAAUACAUGCAAGUCGAGCGAACAGACGAGGAGCUUGCUCCUCUGACGUUAGCGGCGGACGGGUGAGUAACACGUGGAUAACCUACCUAUAAGACUGGGAUAACUUCGGGAAACCGGAGCUAAUACCGGAUAAUAUAUUGAACCGCAUGGUUCAAUAGUGAAAGACGGUUUUGCUGUCACUUAUAGAUGGAUCCGCGCCGCAUUAGCUAGUUGGUAAGGUAACGGCUUACCAAGGCAACGAUGCGUAGCCGACCUGAGAGGGUGAUCGGCCACACUGGAACUGAGACACGGUCCAGACUCCUACGGGAGGCAGCAGAAGGGAAUCUUCCGCAAUGGGCGAAAGCCUGACGGAGCAACGCCGCGUGAGUGAUGAAGGUCUUCGGAUCGUAAAACUCUGUUAUUAGGGAAGAACAAAUGUGUAAGUAACUAUGCACGUCUUGACGGUACCUAAUCAGAAAGCCACGGCUAACUACGU
rnacentral:rRNA from 1 species